AAGUCGUAACAAGGUUUCCGUAGGUGAACCUGCGGAAGGAUCAUUCACAAUGAGUGUUUAAUGGCACUCCAAAUCCAUUACCCACCUUGUGUGCAUUGUCGGGAGGACUCUUUUUCCCAAUCUUCUCUCUCACUCUCUCCUUUCUCCUCUUCCUCUCCCUCUCUCUCUCUCUUUGAGGGGAGAGAGGGGGGUUGUGGAGGGGGGAGGAGGGGAGAAGGGAGAGGGAAAGAGGGAACUCCAUUUCAUUCAUACUCUGUUCUUCAGUAUCUGUCUACUUCAAUUGAGUAUAAAACUCGAAUACAACUUUCAACAACGGAUCUCUUGGCUCUC
rnacentral:misc_RNA from 1 species